AUUGAACGCUGGCGGCAGGCCUAACACAUGCAAGUCGAGCGAGCGGCGGACGGGUGAGUAAUGUAUGGGGACUGCCCGAUAGAGGGGGAUAACUACUGGAAACGGUAGCUAAAACCGCAUACUAUCGGAUAACCCAUAUGGGAUUAGCUAGUAGGUGGGGUAAAGGCUCACCAAGGCAACGAUCCGUAGCUGGUUUGAGCGGACUACCAGCCACACUGGAACUGAGACACGGCCCAGACUCCUACGGAGGCAGCAGUGGGGAAUUUUCGACAAUGGGCGAAACCCUGAUCCAGCCAUCCCGCGUGUAUGAUGAAGGCCUUCGGGUUGUAAAGUACUUUUAGCAGAGAAGCGGUAUCUGCAGAAUAAGCACCGGCUAACUACGUGCCAGCAGCCGCGGUAAUAC
rnacentral:rRNA from 1 species